rnacentral:lncRNA from 1 species
UGACUUGCCUUUCUAUCUGCAAGACCACUGUUAUAGCAUGCUUUCCAAGUGCUGUUUGCACUUCUCUCAGCAGCAGUGCUCUGCUUGGUUCCGCCAAAGUCCUUAACAGCAUAAAGCCACAGAAACUAACGUUACAGAGAUAAGAGGUGAAAGUGCUUCUGAAAGACCGCCUCUUUGUGCCAUGUUUCUAAUAAAACUUAAAUAAAACGGAAGUUUUACUUUAAGAUGUAUCUCUUUUGGACCUUUAAUUUGAAAAUUGUAUGAACAAUUGAUACAUAUUUAGCCUUUGCCAACCGUUCUCUGUAUUUUGUUUUCUCCCUGUGGCUGAAACCUCAUCUUCCACCCUCGAAGCCUUUCCCCUGUUUGGUUACGCAAUUUCUUACGAAAAGCAAAACGAUUCCCCUGAUUUUUAUUUAUGUACGUUUGCAAAUCAGUGACAGUAAAACUCAAGCCCCGGGUGUUUGUGUUUGUUUUUGAUUUUUUUUUUUUUUUUUUUUUUUUGUCCGUGUAAAACAAGGGGCGAGUAUUUGUGAGUCCCCCUCCAGCAGUGUUCAGAGCGGGCCGCACCCUGCCGGGGUGCCUCAGGCCUUCGGCCCGUGAGGAGGCAGCUUCCCGCCUUCUGCCUUCCCGCCCUUUUUCCCGCGCGUGCCGCUCCCGCCGGGCCGCGCCUCGCGCCUGAGGGGCGCUGAGCUCCUCAGCAGGCUGCGGGCAGCCCCCGCGCGCCUCUCGUCUGCCUCAGGGGGCCCGGGGCCGCCCAAAACCCAGCCGAGAGCCGUGAGGGAAGCCGCAGGCGUACGCCGUGCCCCCGAUGCCCUGCCUGCCGCUCAGGGAGUCCUGUUUUUUGCUGUGGUGACAGGCAUGAACCUCUGAGGCUGCCUUUACUACCUGCUAUCUGUGGCAUGGAAUCUGCAGAGAUGGCUAGGUAAGGUAAGGCCUUUCAAAGGCAAUGCUUUCUUUUGUGUUAUGCUUUUAAUACAAAAAUGAGUAUUUCUCUGCUUUCUCUGUGCGUAGUUAGGGAUGCCUUCAUAACUUUUAAUGCACCGGUAUAACUUCCUUACAAACUGUCUAUCUGCUGCCAUGCAGAAGUUACAUUGCUGAAUGAAAGGUAAUGCUCUCCCCUUAGGAAGACAAAUGUUGUCCAUUUAGAGCUGUUUAUCAGAGCAUAAGUGAAAGGGGAAAAGGGAAAUGGACAUUCAUUUGUUUUAGAAAAAAAGCUGUGUGUUUAUAAUAUAAUAGAAACAAAGUUCUCGCAACUAAAUGGCAGCAGUUCUGUGUUGCAUAGUCUUGUUGGAAGUAAAGUAUGUGUUUAAUCGUUGGAUUUGUCAAAAGGGAGGGUUGAACUCAUGGGAAUAAAUAUAAUACACACGGGCUUAAUUACC